rnacentral:rRNA from 1 species
UACAGAGGUCCCGAGCGUUGUUCGGAUUCACUGGGCGUAAAGGGUGCGCAGGUGGUUUGGCAAGUUUGAUGUGAAAGCCCCCGGGCUUAACCCGGGAAUGGCAUUGAAUACUGCUUGAACUGGAGGGUUGGAGGGGGGACUGGAAUUCUUGGUGUAGCAGUGAAAUGCGUAGAUAUCAAGAGGAACACCAGUGGCGAAGGCGAGUCCCUGGACAAACCCUGACACUGAGGCACGAAAGCCAAGGGAGCAAACAGG